rnacentral:rRNA from 1 species
ACGAAGGGGGCAAGCGUUGUUCGGAUUUAUUGGGCGUAAAGGGCGUCUAGGUGGUUUGCUAAGUUAGAUGUGAAAGCCUCCAGCUCAACUGGAGAAUUGCAUCUAAAACUGACAGACUUGAGUUCAGGAGAAGGGAGUGGAAUUCUCAGUGUAGCGGUGAAAUGCGUAGAUAUUGAGAAGAACACCGGUGGCGAAGGCGGCUCUCUAGCCUGCGACUGACACUGAAGCGCGAAAGCCAGGGGAGCAAACGG